rnacentral:rRNA from 1 species
AGCGAACGCUGGCGGCAGGCCUAACACAUGCAAGUCGAACGAACUCUUCGGAGUUAGUGGCGGACGGGUGAGUAACACGUGGGAACGUGCCUUUUGGUUCGGAAUAGCUCAGGGAAACUUGUGCUAAUACCGAAUGUGCCCUUCGGGGGAAAGAUUUAUCGCCAUUAGAGCGGCCCGCGUCUGAUUAGCUAGUUGGUGAGGUAACGGCUCACCAAGGCGACGAUCAGUAGCUGGUCUGAGAGGAUGACCAGCCACACUGGGACUGAGACACGGCCCAGACUCCUACGGGAGGCAGCAGUGGGGAAUCUUGCGCAAUGGGCGAAAGCCUGACGCAGCCGUGCCGCGUGAAUGAUGAAGGUCUUAGGAUUGUAAAAUUCUUUCACCGGGGACGAUAAUGACGGUACCCGGAGAAGAAGCCCCGGCUAACUUCGUG